UUUAAAUUUUAUUAUUUUUAUUUCUUCUUAGAAUACAAAAAAUAUAAGGGCAAUUGCUUAUAUACCUCCAAAAAAUUUUUGAUUUUCUGAUUUACUCUGUUUAGAAGGCUAAUAUUAAAAAUACUCUUUUAACGUUCCAAAUUAUUUCAAAUAUACUUCUAGGGCUCCGUUUGGCUGGCGGUAUAAGCGGGGACCGCUAUUCCGCCAAACAAAAUAAUUUUUGGCCGGGAUAUUUUAUCCCGGUUAAAUUUUGCUAUUCCCGACUAUUCCGGAAUAGAUUGGGAUUUGCUAUUCCACCAUUUUGAUGGAAUAGUGCUAUUCCAAUAUUUAAUUUCAAACUUAAUUAAAAUUAUGAAUUGAAUUAAAACUAAAUUAUCUAAAUAUAAUAUGUUAUAUAUUAUAAUGCAUUUUUUUGUUAUAAAAUUAUUAAUUGUAUUAUAUUAAUAAUAUUAUUUAUAUUUAAAUAUUAUAAUAAAUUUUAUAAUAAAUUAUAUUUAAAUAUUAUAAUAAAUUAUUUUUAUUAAAUUUAAGUUUAAGUAGAAAUUUUAAAAAAAAU
rnacentral:lncRNA from 1 species